UACGAAGGGGGCUAGCGUUGCUCGGAAUGACUGGGCGUAAAGGGCGCGUAGGCGGAUUGCUUUGUCGGGCGUGAAAUUCCAGGGCUUAACCUUGGGGCUGCGGUUCGAGACGGGUGAUCUUGAGUUCGGAAGAGGGUCGUGGAAUUCCCAGUGUAGAGGUGAAAUUCGUAGAUAUUGGGAAGAACACCGGUGGCGAAGGCGGCGACCUGGUCCGAGACUGACGCUGAGGCGCGAAAGCGUGGGGAGCAAACAGG
rnacentral:rRNA from 1 species